UAUCAACCAUCAAGCCUGGCUUGUCGUUGGACCUUUGGUCGUCAGGACCGGUCCGAAAGAUAAUGGACGGGCGUCUGGUGGCCCCCGAUGCAACGAGCUCUUUCAAAACAGCACGCAUCGGUGCGGUCGACAGCCCCGCCCCAAACCCCAAUUUUUCUCAGGUUGACCUCGGAUCAGGUAGGAAUACCCGCUGAACUUAA
rnacentral:misc_RNA from 1 species